rnacentral:rRNA from 1 species
UACGGAAGGUGCAAGCGUUGCUCGGAAUCACUGGGCGUAAAGGGUGCGUAGGCGGCUUGGUGGGUCUGGUGUGAAAGCCCCGGGCUCAGCCCGGGAAGGGCGCUAGAAACUGCCGAGCUCGAGUGCCGGAGGGGAGAGUGGAAUUCCUGGUGUAGCGGUGAAAUGCGUAGAUAUCAGGAGGAAUACCGGUGGCGAAAGCGACUCUCUGGACGGCAACUGACGCUGAGGCACGAAAGCGUGGGGAGCAAACAGG